CGUUUUUUUGCAGUAUUACGUCUUAACGUUCAUACGCCGAUUGUACUACAACAAAUCGUGCAGCGUAAUCGACGUGUGAAUGACGUGUGUCCAUGAAA